CCAGCCGGAGAUGUGAAGGACUUGGAGAACACAUCUUUUCUUCACCGGCGCCGAUCUAGAAUUGCCUCCGCCGUCAUCAUCGAUUACCGCUGCCUCGGUGAGCCAUUGUUCGAUUCCUUGCGCAUACACCAUCUCCUUGACCUCACAACCCUCGUGCAUGCUUGCUUGAAGCAGCUCAUUGUCCCGUUCGAGCCGUCGUCGUUCACCCGAGGAGGAGCGCCGUCGCCGAGCCGUUCCACAAGUCACCGCUGCCGCCAAGACCUCGACAACCCUAGCUCGACCCACGGUGAGCAUCCUGAAGUCUAGAAGACCACAUGCAUGCAUCCUUUUCGUUCGGAAUCGACUUCCAUGCACACAUGCACUUUCACCCCAAGAACCACCGCCGCUCACACUCGCCAUCGGCGCUACUCCGAUGUCCUCUAACCAAGAAAACUAGAGGAAUGGAAUCGCGAGAGCUUGCUCUUCAUUUUAUCUCUUGACCUCAACCUCAAACGAGCCACCGUUUGCCGCCGGCGAGCUCGAGAUCGAGCUCAGCCAUGGCUAGCUCUGCUCUGUCUAGAGCAGAGGGAUGACUUCCGUGAAUUAGAUUAAGUGCAGGGAUCCGUUUACAAUUGUAGAAACACACUGACAUAUGGGCCUAGGACUGCGGGUUGAUUCCUAGAAACCUCAAGGGCCUUUGUGCAUAUUGGUCCCUCACAGCCAUGUGGACCCCAUCCUUUAAAAUCUGAAGAAUAAUUAAGAAAAUGCCCAAACAAAUAUAUGUUUAGCAGAAAAAUGCACAAAGUUGUAAAAUCUAUAUAAAAUCAAAUAUAGCUCAUUUUAAAGUGAUUACAGUUGCUGUAGAUUCUUGAAGUUAUGAACUUUAUUCCAGGAAUAUAAAACUUGACACUCACUGUACAAAUAAUGUCUCUAAAAUUUAUCUAAGAUAGGUCAUACAUAAAACAUGUACAAACUUAUAAAAUACAUAGAAAAUUCAUCUCAACUCAUUUUGAAACAAACUCAAAAACUGCAGAUUCAUCAUCAUGCAUGCACUCUCUGAUUAGGUGAAAUAAAAGUAAUUACUUACUUUGCAUCAAAUUCCUCUAAAACUAUUAUAUCUAAAAUGAUUAGUUUUAGAUAAGCUAAACUUUAGAAAUUCAUGUAGAACCCAAUUUAGCUUCAAUUUGAAUAAACUUAAGUUCUGUAGGAUCACCAAAACAUGUAUUUCCAUGUUAUGAAAUAAGAUUAUAUACUUACUGUGUAGUAAAAGUCUCUAAAUAUUCAUAUAAGGAUUUACUAACAUAGAGCAGCCUUUAAUUUGUAAAACUUGUAGAAAAUUCAUUUUUAGUCCAAAUGAAAUGAACAAAGUUUCCAUAGAACCAGCAAAUAGUUAUCUUCAACAUAGUAAAAUAAAAUUUGGCACCUUUUGUAGAGAACAUAGAUCAAAACCUUAACUUAGUGAAAUAAGAAUUUAAACACAUAGUGUUGUUUAAGUAAUACAUAAACAUGUAUAAGUAUAUAUACACUUUAGGUCUAAUUAAACCUAAAUAAAAACUUGAUUGACCAGUGAAGCCAUAGUUCCAUCCUCAUCCACUAAAACUUAGAAGAACUUAGCUCAUAUGACAAUUUCUAGGUUAAUAUAAUAUAUUGCUAGUUUAGAUUAGAGCAUCUCUAGUUUAUAAAAUAUGAACCAUAGUAGUAAAGACCAUAAACAUGUGAAAUAAAAAUGUUUUAGUUAACCAAAUUAUUCCUUUUAUUCAACUUAAACAGGAAGUAGCAUGUUCUGAACCUAUAACUCAAAAGUCAUGAACAUAUAAAACACUAUAUGCCUAAAACACGUUGUAACUUGUAAAAUCUAUAAGAAAAUCAUUAUAACUCCAAAAAUUGUGAAACCAAAUGUGUUAGUCUUAGAAAACACAUCUCCACACCCCUGUGAAGUCUAAUAUAAUAAAAAUCACUUUACAAAAGUAUUUUAUAACACUACCUAAGACUAUACUACUAUAAACCGAUAAAACUUCUAAAAUUCAUAACUCCCAAAUGGAAUAAAAUAAAAUAGGAAUUAUUUCACCUAAAGUCAUUUUAGAUCAGUACCAACCCACUGUGCAUAAAUCAUGCAUUUUAGAGCAUUUUGGAUUUUCAGCUCUUUCGGUAUUUAAUUGCAUAUCGUGUCCUUUAUCUAGAUAAUUGCAUAAUCGGUGAAGAAGUGGAUUAGGUGCUAACAUUUAUCUGAUCAAGGCAAGUUUUCUCCUCCCAUCCUUUGAACGCAUUGAAUCCCAUGAUUUGAGGAAUGAAAAUAUUUGUUUGCAAAGUUGCAUGUGAACUUAAACUAUAUUGGUAUUUAAAAUUGGGUUAAGGUAGUUAUGACCUAUUUGCUGCAUUCCCUACCUUGAAUAAUUGAGCCUCUUGCAGCUUGAACCCCUAGAAAUGGUUACAGUACACUCUUUGUGCUCAAAUUGGUUUAUAUAUGCUCUAUGUGCAACUACUUGCUUAGCCAUGCUUAGAAAUAUGCAAAUGCUCAUUCCAUCUAUAAUUAAAAUGUGAUUUUCAUAUGUGAACCUUUGCUGGAAUAAAAUGAAUAUGAUGGGUAUUUGCGAACUAAAAUAUGUAAAAUGUGAUUUUAUACUUGGGCGGCAAGUGGUGUGCAUAUGGUGUUAGUUGCAUACCGAUAGGGGGAGUGUUUGCCCAAGUCCAUAAGGACAGAACUUGUGUUACCCAUUUAAAGUUAUUCGUACAUCCACAUGUGCUAGUAUGGGAUGGCCUAAGCUGAUUAAUCUAUUUAGGAAUAGCCUUGCAUUCUGGUAGGCCGGUGUGUAUGAGUUCGUAUAAUUCAGAGGAGCUUCCUAUUUACCCCGACGUGGUAGUUUAGGUGACUAAGCGUGUCCAAUAUAACGGUAUUGUGCCACGUGGUGGGUUCCCGUCGUGUCCGCCACCACGGCGUUAAGUUUAAGGUGUGGGCCCGCCACUUAACGGUUCUAGGUAUAUUCCAAGUAUGCCUAGGAUGGAGGAACACGUAUCGUGCUGGUGCAAGGCUAGGCUCUAAGUAGUGUAAAGGCUUCGUUAUGGCCUCUAGAUCACAUUCAACAUGAAGAGUGUGGUGGAGUCUUGCAAACUCAAAACAAACUAGAGAGUUCAUAUCAUGUGGGUAAAGCUGUACAAACUCUGCAGAGUUCUUUAAACUAAUUGAUUAGCCAUGCUCACGGUCAUGAGCGCUUUGGUGAUGUGUCAUGAGUAUAGACUAUGUUUUAAAAAUGUGAUCAUGUGACAUUGGUUUGAAAUUGAUAAAUGUGUUGAGUUGUGUGUGUGGUGAUACAUUAUGACUUAUUGUUAAGUAUGGCAAUAAGAGAUUGAUUAUGAUGGAAUUAUGAAGAAGUUAAUAAUGAAACUUAAAACUUGUCUUUGUUAAUUGAAGCAUCAACUCCUUUACAAAAGAAUUGCGAAACAAAACUUGCUUUAUGCUGAAAUUGAACUACAUAUUUCCUUCCUUUGAAUAUAUGCCUUACAUGUAGUAUGGUAGGAUUGACUUGUGCUUGCUAGUACAUUAACUUGUUUAAUGUACUGACUCUUGCUGUUGAUAUAACCUUUUGUUUGCAGGUUUAGACUUAGUCUUUGAGUGAUGCGGGUUUCGAUUGCUUCUUCUAGGAUGAGAACUUAAUGGGGUAAACCCUUAGUCGGUGUGCUUGUGAUUGGGUAGUCAAGCUUCCGCUGUUCUCUAAUAAGUCUAUUUGGCCGGUCGGCCUAUCUAAUUAUUAAGUUGUUGUAUGUCUUAAGUUUCUUUCAUCUUAGUUGUGUUUGCUAUGUAUAAUCAUGCUUAAGAUGAAAGUGUUAAUCUAGUGCACAUCAUCCUGGGAACUAGAUUUACAUGAGUAUGAGUUAGGAAUAUUUGAGAGGUUGUAGAUCUUUAGUCAUUUUUGUCAAGUCUUCUGAAUGUGUAACACAUCUGGUCGCCGCCUUCGAGUGGUUUGACGGGCACAUAUCAGGCUGAAGUUGACUGGCAGGCUAAGGGCUCAGCAAUGUCUCCAAUAUUUCUCUCUCGAGGCGUCGGAUGUUUCAUUAUGCUUGUUUGAUGACUUGAAUUAUUCACUUCAUCUCUCAAAUAUCUCUCAAAUAUAAUGAAGGUCCGGAGAGCCUACGACAGCAUUUAUUAUAAGCACAAGAAAAACAUUGGUGUUC
rnacentral:lncRNA from 1 species